CCAAGCGUGGAGCCCAAGGCAGGGCUUGAAUUCAGGACCCUGAGAUUAAGAGUCGGAAGCUUGACCGGCUGAGCCACCCAGGCACCAAAGGGUUUCAUUUUUGACUCACUGCUUGAUAUAAGUACAAGAGGUUCCAAGUACAAGAGCCUAGGCGAUGGCCACCCACUAAGGAUUCAGACACAUCUGAAGAGGCUAAUGGGAAGAUGUUUGGGGCCCAAUGAACAAACACCUGAGACUGAAAGCUUGCCUUCAGCAUCCUUCAGCAGUGAAAAGCCGACAUGCAGGUGCUCAAUUAGAUUGGGUAAAAAAACUUACCCUAAGAGAGCAUGAUGGUACAAACUUAAUCAGAGACACUGACUAGGGCUUGUCCAGGAGGAAUGGUUCUCAGCAUAGUAUAAGGCAAUGAUAGUUAAGUGAACUUGAACUUCUGAUUUGGCUGAAAGGAAAACCAAGCCUAAUUACAAAUGCAGGAAAAGAGAGAUACAGGAGAAGUGUAAGAAAUCUUUAAAAAACAACAAAACGUUUUAGGAGUAUUACAGACACUUGGAUAAAAGGAAGCCUUGUUUAAUGGCCUGAAGACAAGAUGAGAGAAAAGGUAUUUGUUCUCUUCUUUACUCACUUUACUAUUGUGACCCUGGAAAUGGGAAAA